GAGUGGGGAGGAGAGAGGGACAGAGAGCCUGCUUCUUUAAAGGAGCAAAGCGGGAGAGGAGAGGAGCCGCUUACACAAGUGUAAGCGGCUCCUGUCUGGUUGGUUCCUUUAAAGCGAGCAGGCUCUCUGUCCCUCUCUCCUCUCCACUC
rnacentral:miRNA from 1 species